rnacentral:rRNA from 1 species
ACACACCGCCCGUCACUCUCCCCAAGUCGAAAUAAAUCUAUAUUAUAUAAUGAACCCUAAUUGACAAUAGGGGAGGCAAGUCGUAACAUGGUAAGUGUACCGGAAGGUGUACUUGGAUAAAUCAAAAUGUAGCUAAAUAGAAAAGCAUCUCUCUUAC